rnacentral:rRNA from 1 species
GACGAACGCUGGCGGCGCGCCUAACACAUGCAAGUCGAACGGAGUCACGAGGAGCUUGCUUUUCUUGACUUAGUGGCGAACGGGUGAGUAACGCGUGAGUAACCUGCCCUGGAGUGGGGGACAACAGUUGGAAACGACUGCUAAUACCGCAUAAGCCCACGGAUCUGCAUGGAUCUGCGGGAAAAGGAUUUAUUCGCUCUAGGAUGGACUCGCGUCCAAUUAGCUAGUUGGUGAGGUAACGGCCCACCAAGGCGACGAUUGGUAGCCGGACUGAGAGGUUGAACGGCCACAUUGGGACUGAGACACGGCCCAGACUCCUACGGGAGGCAGCAGUGGGUGAUAUUGCACAAUGGGGGAAACCCUGAUGCAGCGACGCCGCGUGGAGGAAGAAGGUUUUCGGAUUGUAAACUCCUGUCGUGAGGGACGAUAAUGACGGUACCUAACAAGAAAGCACCAGCUAACUACGUG